CGCAGGCUCCGGCCUGGUGGAGGCGAGGCGGGCUCCGCGGCCUCCCCCGGGUCAGUCCGAGUUUAGUCUGCGGAGGCGACGGCGGGGGAGCGGGCCGGGGCCAAGACGGACCCCAAGCCAGACAGGCGCUCCCCUGCCCCUCCCCGCGCCUCGCCCCUGCCCCCAUAGCCCGUCUCCGGCAGGACGGACUAAUCUGCCCGGCUUGCGCCUGCUGCCAACCCUGCCCGCAAUCUAGAGCCCAGCCUGGCCAAGCUAAACCACAAAGGACGAGCAGCUCGGAGCUUAGCGAGUGCUUCCCAGCUGCCCCCCAGGAGUGCUGGGAGCAGCCUGAAGAGCUUCCCAGAAGACCCGCAAGGCCGCAGCAGCAUCACUUACAGAAACGGCCCGGAUAGUGUUCCUUCUGGAUUCAUCUUCUGGCUUUGUGAUCUUGGGCGAGUUACUUAUUUUCCUCCAUUUCUACAUAUGGAAAACUAGAGGAGUAAUACCUACCUUCCAGAUAUGGCUUUUAUAAGAAACAAAGGGGAUGAUGUUUGUAAAGGGUUUGCUAAAUGUAAAAUGCUUAUUCCACUGAUAUCUAUCAUCAUAGUUAAUAUUGUGCCAUUAGCUUGAAUCUUGGCUCUCAAAUGGGAAUAAUAAUUGUGCUCACUGCUUGGGGUUGUUGGGAGGGAAAGACUACAUGUAAAGCAGGUGGGGCAGUUCUGGAUGCAUUUCCAUGCUCUUUGUUGUUAUUACUCUACUAACUCUUAUUUUCACUCAGAAGCAGAUCAGAUUGAUACAUGUAAUAUAGACUUUAAGAAUGAUAGAGAAAUGAGAUUAAUUUUUCAAGAAUGAAAAGAGUAAACACAUAUUGUUUAUGAAUAUGCAAUAUUUAAAGUCUACAUGCCGUCCAGCGAUAAAAUCACUUCAUUGACAGAAAUAUUAACUGAAAAAAGAAUUUUGGUCAUUUAGGUUUGUAUGUUCUUUGAACAGGCUAAUGUGAGGACAAAAUGAGGUGGCUUUUGAAAGUCUAUCUGGCUUUGGCUGGAAAGAAUGUUUUUAACUGGAGAGUGUUUUGUAUUACCUGAUGGAUUUUUAACUUCUUGAACAUCUUUAGUAAUUAGUGCAUGCAGCAUUAGCUAGGUAGCUUUUGAACAUUCAGAAUUAUUCUUUACUAUCUUAAAAAGAUUGCGUUUUAUGACGUACAUAAAUAUGCAAGCAUAUAUGCUCUUUAAGAUGAGAUGAAAGGGAACGAUUUUAUUCUACAUUAGAAAACCUGGGUUAGUGCUUCCCAAAUGUUAACAGGUGCAAAGUAGGUAAUAAAACCUACCACAAUGAAAAUAUUACUCUGGUCAACUUUCAGAAACACUAGAUUAAUUAUAACUCCAAAAUAAAGAUUUUAUUGAACUGCUGCUCAGAAUCUUUAGUAUAUUAAUGUGUACUGAGGACCUCCAAGGAUGGCAGUAGUAUGUUUGCUAAUAUUAUUUGACCACUGAGUCCUUUUUCUGAGAGAGCUAUUGUUAAGGAAUAUAUUUUGGGAAAUGUGAGGCUGGAAGAUUAUUGUG
rnacentral:lncRNA from 1 species